rnacentral:rRNA from 1 species
UACGUAGGGUGCGAGCGUUAAUCGGAAUUACUGGGCGUAAAGCGUGCGUAGGCGGUUCGUUAAGUCAGCUGUGAAAGCCCCGGGCUCAACCUGGGAAUUGCAUUCGAGACCGCGUAGCUAGGGUGCGGAAGAGGGAAGCGGAAUUUCCGGUGUAGCGGUGAAAUGCGUAGAUAUCGGAAGGAACACCAGUGGCGAAAGCGGCUUCCUGGUCCAGCACCGACGUUCAGGCACGAAAGCGUGGGGAGCAAACAGG